rnacentral:tRNA from 3 species
UGCCCUGUGGCCAAGCUGGUUAAGGCACCCGACUGUUAAUCGGGAGAUCCACGGUUCGAUCCCGUGCGGGGCAG